rnacentral:rRNA from 1 species
UACGUAGGGUGCAAGCGUUAAUCGGAAUUACUGGGCGUAAAGCGUGCGCAGGCGGUCAUGCAAGACAGAUGUGAAAUCCCCGGGCUUAACCUGGGAACCGCAUUUGUGACUGCAUAGCUGGAGUACGGCAGAGGGGGAUGGAAUUCCGCGUGUAGCAGUGAAAUGCGUAGAUAUGCGGAGGAACACCGAUGGCGAAGGCAGUCCCCUGGGCCUGUACUGACGCUCAUGCACGAAAGCGUGGGGAGCAAACAGG